AGAGAGAGACAUGCGCGCAUAUCAAUAAGCGGAGGAAAAGAAACUAACAAGGAUUCCCUUAGUAACGGCGAGUGAAGCGGGAAGAGCUCAAAUUUGAAAUCUUCAAGGUUUUACCUUGACGAAUUGUAGUUUAAAGAAGUGUUUUCUGCUGAAGUUUGGUAAAAGUUCUUUGGAAUAGGACAUCAUAGAGGGUGAGAAUCCCGUAUUUGACCAUUAUUUUCAGCUUUGUGAUACACUUUCAAAGAGUCGGAUUGUUUGGGAAUGCAGUCCAAAAUGGGUGGUAAAUUUCAUCUAAAGCUAAAUAUUGGCGAGAGACCGAUAGCGAACAAGUACCGUGAGGGAAAGAUGAAAAGAACUUUGAAAAGAGAGUUAAACAGUACGUGAAAUUGUCAAAAGGGAAGCGUUUGACACCAGUGUUGUUUUCUCGAAAAUCAAUUAAAAAUGGCUCGAUUUUGUAUUGUUGAGACCUUAAAAGCUCACUGUACAUUUUUCGUGUCUUUUUUAAUGCACUCUUCGUUUAACAAGUCAACAUCAGUUUCUUUUGUUGUAAAAGGGUCAUUGGAAGGUGGCUUUCUUUUCGGAGAAAGUGUUUAUAGCCUUUGGCCUCUGCAAUCGGAGAGACUGAGGUCUGCAGCGUAGACUCUUCGGGGUUAGAUACAUUUGUGCUAAGUUAUAGCUUUUUAUAGACAACUUGUUGACUAUAAUUAGUCUUGUAGCUUACUCGCUUAUGCUAUUUUACCUACGCUUAGGAUGUUGAAGAUGUAGCACAUCAU
rnacentral:rRNA from 1 species